AUGGAUGAAAAUUUUUUGAGUGAGUAACUAAACAGGGCCUGAGCCCGCGAGGAGUGGAGCGGAGUCCUAGCUUGGGCUCAUGCGGUCAUGCCUGCCGGCCUUAUCCCGUCGCCGACGUCACCCAGCUGACCGGCGGCGGCCGGACGUUGACGCGAGGACCAGGCCCGACCAGUUCUCUUUGACCGUAUGGUCCAGUUGGCACGCCAAGGACGGGACAUGACCCACCCACACGCCACAUCCCACCUGCUGGCUGCUGCCGCUGCCUCGGCUGCCACACGAUUAUAGCGUGAGGAGGACUAGCUUCACCCAAAAAAUAAAAAAAAAUAAGCUGUCAUCGAAUUUUGCAAUAAGUAUUAAAUAUAGUUAAAAACAAAAACUAAUUAUAUAGUUUGCCUUAAAUCACGAGAUGAAUCUUUUGAUCCUGUGGGGGAUAGACCCCUAUACCCUUACGGCUAGACUUGGACCAGGAGGCUUGGCCCAUUACGAGACGAGUUCAAGGCUUGAUCCGACAGCCUGG
rnacentral:lncRNA from 1 species